rnacentral:rRNA from 1 species
UACGUAGGGUGCGAGCGUUGUCCGGAAUUAUUGGGCGUAAAGAGCUUGUAGGCGGUUUGUCGCGUCUGCUGUGAAAAUCCGGGGCUCAACUCCGGACUUGCAGUGGGUACGGGCAGGCUAGAGUGUGGUAGGGGAGACUGGAAUUCCUGGUGUAGCGGUGGAAUGCGCAGAUAUCAGGAGGAACACCGAUGGCGAAGGCAGGUCUCUGGGCCACUACUGACGCUGAGAAGCGAAAGUGUGGGGAGCGAACAGG